UUUCCGUAGGUGAACCUGCGGAAAGAUCAUUAACGAGUUAGGGUCUUCUAGGCCCGACCUCCCAACCCUAUGUUUAUUGAACCUCUGUUGCUUCGGCGGACCCGCCUCACGGCCGCCGGAGGACCGCUGCAAGGCGUCCUCUGGCCAGCGUCCGCCGAUGGCCAACCACUUAAACUCUGAAUGAAUCGUGUCAUAUGUCUAAGUCUAUGAUUAAAUUAAAGCAAAACUUUCAACAACGGAUCUCUUGGUUCUG
rnacentral:misc_RNA from 1 species